rnacentral:rRNA from 1 species
AUUGAACGCUGGCGGCAUGCUUUACACAUGCAAGUCGAACGGUAACAGGCCGCAAGGUGCUGACGAGUGGCGAACGGGUGAGUAAUGCAUCGGAACGUGCCCAGUCGUGGGGGAUAACGCAGCGAAAGCUGCGCUAAUACCGCAUACGAUCUCUGGAUGAAAGCGGGGGACCGAAAGGCCUCGCGCGAUUGGAGCGGCCGAUGUCAGAUUAGGUAGUUGGUGGGGUAAAGGCCCACCAAGCCAACGAUCUGUAGCUGGUCUGAGAGGACGUCCAGCCACACUGGGACUGAGACACGGCCCAGACUCCUACGGGAGGCAGCAGUGGGGAAUUUUGGACAAUGGGCGCAAGCCUGAUCCAGCAAUGCCGCGUGCAGGAAGAGGGCCUUCGGGUUGUAAACUGCUUUUGUACGGAACGAAACGGUCCGGGCUAAUACCCUGGGCUAAUGACGGUACCGUAAGAAUAAGCACCGGCUAACUACGUGCCAGCCGCCGCCGUAA